rnacentral:lncRNA from 1 species
AAAUGAAUCUCAAAGAAAGAACCCUAGCUUUUCCUCUCUCUCAAACCUUUUUUUUUAAAAAAUCUUCUCCGAAAUUUUCUUCUUGAACCCUCUCCUUGUGUCCAAAAACCUCCAAAUAUAUACCUCACUCUCGAAUCUUCUUCUUUUUCACCAAGAAAACGCGUGGGACCACAAAACAAAUCCAAAAAUCCCUUCAAUGGACGAGAUAAGACAAAUGGAGGGAGUAGAUCGAGUGUAACUCGAUCCUACGCACCCCAUUUUUCUAUUCUGGCCUAAAAGAAACAAAUUCGGAAAAAGAAAAAUGAAGAGAAAAACAAGUGAAAAUAAUGAAGCUUGGUACUGAAUGUGUGAUGUGGAAGAAGGAGAGAAGAAAAGGGGGGACCAUGAAUGAGAUUGGGGUGGAGUUAUGGUGGGUUUGGGUGUUGUUGAAUGGCAGUGAAGCUUAGAGAUUGGGGGGGCUGGUUGGGAUCUCUUUAGGUUUAGAGUUGUGACAAAAAAAAUCUUUAUAUGGGGUAGGGAAUAAACAAGGGUCGUUGAAUUUAACUAGAUCAAGGGCUGAGAUUAAUCUAAGAGGGCUAAUGGGUUAUGGGCUGGAAGGCAUCGAGUCAGGCAAUUUGGGCUAUGGGGUGUUGGAAUUGAGUGGAAGAUCUGGAUUGGGCCUUAUGAAAUUCUUGUUGAACAAAAAACAAAAAGCAAAACGAAAAAAAUGAAAAUCCUACAAACAUAUUAAUUAAUCUUAGUUAAUUAAAUAUACUAUUAAAACUAUUAUUAUUAUUAUUAUUAUUAUUAUUAUUAUUAUUAUUAUUUAUAUUUUCAAACAUUAUAUUAAUAUAAAAUUUAGAAAGAGUAGAUUAAAAGUUAUGGUAAAGCUAAAUUAAUAUCACUAUUGAAGUGUUGAUGAUCUUAUACUAAAAUGAAAAAUAUAAUAAGAUGAGAAAUAUUAUAAAUAAAACUAUCCUUGUAUUUUUGACUUUAUAUUCUAAAAUUUAAAAUAAGAGUAUAUUAGAAUCUAAUUAGAAUAAUCCAAGUAAAUAUAUUAAAAUACUAAAGAUACUAAACUAACUUUAAAAGUGCGCGAGUCAAAAAUUAUGUGCUUACAGUUGCCCCUCUUUGCAUGAAAACUCGAAGAGUUUUUGAGCAAAGAAUUAAGUAAGCAACGUAAUUGAGUUCUGACCCGGCACUUAUUCAAAAGAAGAUAAAGAUGGAUAAAGAUUGCGACCGAGCCCUGGUAUCUGAGCUGCCUGCAUAUCCUUGGCUAUAAAGGAAUCAAGUCACGUGUAGUUCAGAAGUAAAAAGAGUGUAGAAGGAUACCGAGGUGGAGAGCCGAGUGAAGUGUCGUCGAGGUUCCGGUCCGCGGUUCCUGUCAUUACAUCAAAAAUAAAAGAAAAAUACAAGAUCAUAUCUACUUCUUGUCUUGAAUCUUCUUUGAAUUUCUACUUGAUCUUUCAACAUGAAACUGAAAAAUGGACCCUGUUCUUCAGGCGGGCUCCUGAUGCUUCUCUGACUUGAACUUGGAAAUUAAAAUUGACCCUGUUCUUCAGGCGGGUUCCUGAUGUCUCUUGAAUUUGAGAAUCGAAAGUAACUUUGAAAUGAAUUUCCUUAUUUUCCAGGUAGGUGCCUGAUUACCAAAACUUGAACUGUAUUCCCUUGUUCUCCAGGUGGGCGCCUGAUUGCAAAACUUGAAUUGUACUCCCUUGUUCUCUAGGUNNNNNNNNNNNNNNNNNNNNNNNNNNNNNNNNNNNNNNNNNNNNNNNNNNNNNNNNNNNNNNNNNNNNNNNNNNNNNNNNNNNNNNNNNNNNNNNNNNNNNNNNNNNNNNNNNNNNNNNNNNNNNNNNNNNNNNNNNNNNNNNNNNNNNNNNNNNNNNNNNNNNNNNNNNNNNNNNNNNNNNNNNNNNNNNNNNNNNNNNNNNNNNNNNNNNNNNNNNNNNNNNNNNNNNNNNNNNNNNNNNNNNNGGGUCCUGAAAAGCCGAGAAUGAACUUACCUGAGCCAUGCUCUCUUCUUGGAGGAUUCUAAACAGAAUUUUUUGCCCCUGAACCAUGCCUUCUUCAUGGGGGGUCCCUGUGGAUUAACAAAUUUUCUUGCCCCUGUUUGAGACAAAUAAAAUUUUGUUAGUUUGAAAACUUGGUGGUUAGUUUGUGGCAUCAUUGCUGAGUGUCUGCUUCUGCUACCGCCAUGCUUCAUUCUGAUUAGCUGCUUCUGGCUAGCAAGGAGUUGUUUGAGCUUUUGAUUGGAACUGGACCACAAAACCUCUAAAUGACCUGAAUCUCUUACACUCACUUGUUGCAUUGUGUUUUCAUUCUGAAAGUUGCUGAAUCACUGUAUUUUCUCAAAAUUCAAGAUUUAUUUGAUUGCCUGAACCUCAGUUAUCACCAUACUGCUUAUUCUAAAUCAUGUCAAUUGUGAUGUGCUUGGCCAAACACCGCUUUGUGCAAUUUAGAAGGUGGUAGUAGUCUUUGGAAUCCUUUCCUGCUUGUUCAACAAGGGCUAACUCGAAAGAGACUCAUAAAGAUAGACUCAAAGAGCAAAGUGAAAUGAUUUUGGCAAAAGGAACAAAAGAAAAUUUUGAACACAAAUGACUAUGUGAAGAAGAAGGGGAAAAAGAAGACUUAUCUGAGUGAAGCGGCUAGCUCCAAUGAUCAUGACAUGCAUUUAGGAUUGAUCAGCCUAAUCCAUCCAACCAAUCAUAUUUCCAGUUCAUGUCAUGUCUUCAUACUUCAAAAUCGGGCUUUUACUGAUCCAAUUUCUCUGUAAAGUCACGAGCCUCAUUCGACUUGUAGUGCCUACGUAUCCUUAAAAGGCUGCCUACGUAUCCUUAAAAGGAAUCCGGUCGAACGUAGUUCAAACAAAAGUUGUUUGUUUUUGUUGCUUUUAUUUCUUCCUUUUCAUUUUUUUUCUUCUUCUUUUUCUUCUCUUUUUUUUCCUUUUUUCUUUCUUUCUUCUUCUUUUUUUUCUUUUUCUUUUUCUUUUUUUUUCUUCAUUUUUUUUCAUCAUUUUUUUCAUUCUCUAAAUCUGUAACUGAUUUCAAAAGAGGGGUAUGAAAGAAAAUAAAUAAGGCUCAAAAGGGGUAACAAAGCAUGAAAGUGUUUGGGUUGCAGAACAAAAUGACUUCGUCAUUUCAACUUUGACCAUGCCAAGUACAAAAUACAAUUGAAGGUAAGCAAAGCAAUCAUACAUAGUACCUCUUAACUGCAUCAGUAUUGAUAGCCAUAUCUACAUAUUUGUCUUCUAUGUCUGUUAAAUACAAAGCGCCAUUGGGAAACACUCUUGUCACAAUGAAUGGCCCCUGCCAGUUUGGGGCGAACUUGCCUUUAGGUUCCACCUGAUGAGGAAGGAUGCGUUUCAAUACCAUCUGGCCCACUUCAAAUAUUCGAGGACACACCUUUUUGUUGUAUGCUCUUGCCAUUCUCUUAUGAUACAAUUGACUAUGGCAUACUGCAGCCAAUAUUUUCUUAUCAAUCAAACUCAACUGUUCAGUCGGGUUUUGACCCAGUCAUCAUCAUCAAUUUCAGCUUCUGCAACGAUCCGAAAGGAUGGAAUUUCAACUUCCGCAGGUACAACUGCCUCAGUUCUAUAUACCAUCAAAUAAGGAGUUGCUUUUGACCCACUCAUCAUCAUCAAUUUCAGCUUCUGCAACGUUUCGAAGGGAUGGAAUCUCAACUUCCACAGGUAUAACUGCCUCAGUUUCAUAUACCAGCAAAUAAGGAGUUGCACCUAGUAGUGUGAUAACCCAGUAAGGCAACUUUUCAUGCCAUUGCCUGAACCUUUCACCACCGUACGAAGUAUCUUCUUUAUGUUCUUGUUAGCAGCCUCAACAACUCUAUUUGCCUUGGGGCGAUACGUAGUGGAGUUUCGAUGCAUGAUCUUGAACUGCUGGCAUACCUCUUUCAUCAAAUGACUGUUGAGAUUAGCAGCAUUGUCUGUUAUGAUCACCUUGAGAAUUCCAAACCGACAAAUGAUAUUUGAAUGAUCAAAAUCCACCACUGCCUUCUUGGUCACGGACUUGAAAGUUACAGCUUCGACCCACUUGGUAAAGUAAUCAAUGGCCACCAGAAUAAACCUAUGCCUGUUUGACGCUACCGGCUCAAUUGGUCCAAUGACAUCCAUGCCCCAAGCAACAAAGGGCCAAGGUGCAGACAUUGUGUGUAACUCAAAUGGGGGAGAAUGAAUCAAAUCACCGUGUACCUAGCAUUCAUGACACUUGCGAACAAAACUGAUACAAUCCCGUUCCAUGGUGAGCCAAUAAUAACCUGCUCGAAGUAUCUUUUUUGCCAAGACUUACCCAUUCAUAUGCAGCCCGCAAACUCCAGAAUGUACUUCGGCCAUGAUAGUUGAAGCUUCUUUAGCAUCUAUGCACCUCAUCAGUCUUAAAUCUGGAGUCCUCUUGUACAAGAUUCCCCCACUUAAGAAAAAUCCACGAGCCAGACGUCGAAUGGUUCUCUUUUGAUCACCCGUGGCAUGUAGUGGAUAUACUCCCAACUUGAUGUAUUCCUUGAUAUCAUGGAACCAAGGUUCGCCAUCAAUUUCCUCUUCAACCAUAUUACAAUAAGCAUGUUGAUCAUGAACUUGGAUAUGCAUGGGUUGACAUAAGCCUUGUCCGGAUGAUGUAACAUUGACACUAGAGUAUCCAAGGCAUUGGCAAUCUCAUUAUGAACUCUGGGAAUAUGUCUCAAUUCUACCGACCUGAAUCAUUGAUAAAGAUCUUGCAGACACUAUCGGUACGAUAUGAGCUUCAAGUCUCGAGUCUCCCAUUCUCCUUGAAUCUGGUGAACCAACAAAUCUGAAUCUCCCAGAACCAGUAUUUCCUGGACGCCCAUGUCUAUAGCUAACCUCAAACCCAGAAUGCAUGCUUCGUACUCAGCCAUCUUAUUGGUGCAAUAAAAUUGAAGCUGGGCUAUUAUAGGGUAGUGUUGCCCUAUUUCAGAGAUGAGUACAGCCCCUAUUCCGACACCUUUCAUGUUAGCAGCUCCAUCAAAGAAGAGUUUCCAAUGUGGAUUUUCAUCAUGGUCCACCUCGUCAACAUGCAUCACUUCCUCAUCAGGAAAAUAAGUCUUUAGUGGCUCAUAUUCUUCAUCUAUCGGAUUCUCAGCCAAGUGGUCAGCCAAGGCUUAGGCUUUCAUCGCGGUCCGAGUCACAUAGAUGAUGUCAAACUCUGUAAGUAAAAUUUGCCACUUUGCAAGUCUUUCCAUGGGCGUAGGCUUUUGAAAGAUAUACUUUAGAGGAUCCAUGCGAGAAAUGAGGUAAGUAGUGUAGGACGACAGAUAAUGCUUCAACUUUUGUACCACCCAAGUUAGGGCGCAACAUGUCCUCUCAUGUAGAGUGUACUUAACCUCAUAGGGAGUGAACUUCUUACUGAGAUAAUAGAUUGUGCUCAUUCUUUCCCAUUGUCACACCUUCUUUUUCUAUCUCGGAAAGGGAUAUAAGGGAGUUUUUUCCAAUUAAAACGACAAUCGAAACGAGAUUAUUCUAUUUAAAAUCAGAGUCGUCACUUGGGAUAAUUUAUGGUAUCCCAAGUCAUCGGUUUCAAAUCCCGAAUCAAGGAAAAAUUGACUCUGUUUUACAGUCCGCGAACACAAAAUUCCGGGUAAGGAAUUCUGUUAACCCGGGAGAAGGUGUUAGGCAUUCUCGGGUUCCGUGGUUCUAGCACGGUCGCUCAACUAUUAUUUUUUGGCUCAAUUAUCCGAUUUUAAAACACCUGUAAACCUAUGUGAAUUUUUAACUAUAAAAUCGCUUUUAUUUAUUUAAAGAAUUCAUUCAAGGUUAUUUAAAACACAUCGCAAGCCACGCUAUAUGAAAUGGACCCGUAGUUCACGACACGUUCUAUUUAACCUUGUUGGAAAUUAAGACCGGGUCUCAUAAAAUGCACCCCCAAAUUUUGGUGGUUAAGCGUCAUAACUACAUCAUGGGAACCGUACCCGUAACAAUGAUAAUUAUUUAACUAACGCGCCUAAAGCUAACUACAAGAGUUUAGGGCAUAAUAGAUCAUUCAUCAUUGAAGGCCUUGGUCAUAUUCUAAUAUUAGCAAAAGGCCCUACGUUACUGCUUGAAAUUAAACAAAGCCUUCCAAAGCUUAUUCUAGUGGCCCAACAUUUAAUCCAAAGUCCACUCUUAAAUGACUACCACAGUAACCUAAAUGCUACAAAACUUCAGUCCAAAUUUCAACUAUCAAAUCUCAUGGCCCAAUUACUUUGGUAAUCUAGCCUAAAAUACCGAACCUCACUUCUUGUUUCUGCUCAUCUAAUUCAAACAUUAAUAAUCAAGCAAUGUAAUAGAAACACAGUCACCAAAUUUCAUAUUAUCUAAAAUCAAGCAUGAGAUGGAAAGAAAUAAGUGAAAUAGGACAAGAGUCGGACCUCAAACUGGACAGAAACAACUUCAAAAACUCGAUUAAGCAUGAAAUCCAAAACCAAGAACUUUACAGCAUAAGGUCGUGGACACAGAACUCGAAUAACAACUUGAAAUUAAUAGUAAACCUCCUGUCGGAACUUCGAGUGGCAACCUCACUUUGAUGGUGUUUCACGACAGCGUCUCGAUGGUGGAGUGCGACGGAAUUUUUGAUAGAGUUUUGGAUGGCUUCAAAGUGGUGGGUUUCAACGAGUGAAUAAGUUAUAGAGAGACAGUGAGGUAAAGGUUUAACAUAGUUUCAUGGCCGCAAUGGACUGGUAGAGUGGGGGGGGGGGGUUCUCUUGUGUGUUAUGGCUGAGCAGCGUCAAGGAUGGUCGCUGGUUACUGCUUGUUUUCCGGCGAGAUUGACGGUUGUUCUGCUGAUUUUUAGCUAGACUUAGUGGCGUGAGGGUGGCUGCUCAUUUGGUGGUCUUUUCAACUCGUUUUCCGGCGAGCUUAUCACUGUUUCUGCUGGAUUUUGGGCCAGUUAUGGUAGCGACAGAUGUGAGAGGGUGGAACGGUAGCAGUGUGUGUAUGUGUUAGUACUGGUGUCGCUGGGCUGCUAUGGAGGAGUUCCUUUUUAGAUUGUGUAUUUUGAAGAAGAAGAUAGCCUAGGGUUUUUGUCUAUGCCUUUCUAUGAAGAAGAAGAAGAAAGCUGAUGGGGUCUAUUUUUUGAGCUAUAUAACUGAUUUCUAUUGUUAGUUCCUUUAGGUUUUUUGUUUUGAGAAGAUGAAAAGCUUAGGUCCUUGUGUUUUUUCUUUUGUUGUCUCCAUAAUAAAAACGACUUAUGUGCUAAGUGUAGUCUAUAGGGUCUUUUUAUUUAUUUUGUCAAGAAGAGUCUAGAAGGUCUUCUAGGGUUAGCUUUAUGGGUAAUGGGUAUUGGGCUUGGAAUUAUGGGCCAAGAAAUUGGUUUAAUUGGCUACACGCAAAACUAAAUUAGUCCAAAAAAUUAAUUCUAGUCCCACUUUUUUUUUGUAUGUAAAAAUAAUAUAGAAAACGAGAUAAACUAUUAAAAAUACUACUAAAUAUUACUUAAGAAAAUAACUAUUAAAAUAACACUAACAGUUUAAAAACAAACCUAUUUUUGGUUUUUUUUUCACGGUUAAAAAUGACUACAAAAUAUUAAUGAAACUAUUUUUUGUAAUUUUUAUUUUCUUGUAAUAAAAUAAAGUAAAAGAGUCAAAAUUAGUUAAAAUAAAGAUAUUAGCCCUAAACUAAAUAUUUACAUGCUAAAAUAUAAAAAAUCUUGGGGAGGGUCAAAAAUCACAUGUCUACAGCUGCCCCUCUUUGACUGGAAAUACGAAGUAUUUUCAGACAAAGAACGACUAGACAGGUUUUUUGACCCGACCCUUAUUUAAGGAGACCAAAAACUAAGAGAAAGGAGAAUGUGACCGAGCCCUGAUAUCUGAGCUGCCUACAUAUCCUUGGCUAUAAAGGAAUCAGGCCACGUGUAG